GACGAACGCUGGCGGCGUGCUUAACACAUGCAAGUCGAACGGAAAGGCCCUGCUUUUGUGGGGUGCUCGAGUGGCGAACGGGUGAGUAACACGUGAGUAACCUGCCCUUGACUUUGGGAUAACUUCAGGAAACUGGGGCUAAUACCGGAUAGGAGCUCCUGCUGCAUGGUGGGGGUUGGAAAGUGUCGGCGGUUGGGGAUGGACUCGCGGCUUAUCAGCUUGUUGGUGGGGUAGUGGCUUACCAAGGGUUUGACGGGUAGCCGGCAUGAGAGGGUGAACGGCCACCAUGGGACUGAGAGACGGACCAGAAUCCUACGGGAGGCAGCAGGGGGGAAUAUUGCACAAUGGGCGGAAGCCUGAUGCAGCAACGCCGCGUGCGGGAUGACGGCCUUCGGGGUGUAAACAGCUUUCGCCUGUGCCGAAGCGUGAGUGACGGUAAUGGGUAAAGAAGCACCGGCUAACUACGUG
rnacentral:rRNA from 1 species